GCAGUGAACAGCGGACGCUAAUGUUUUUGUCACUUUUUACGGAAUCAAACUCAAAGUAAGUCUGUGAUUCCUCCCCUCUCCUGCAUCCACUUCCUAACUCCUCUGCCACGUGCCCCGAAACCUGUCCCUGGAAGUAAAUCAGCAUCAGGCGCUCUCUUAACUGAGUGUGUCGCCGAGAACAUAAAGUGUGGACGCCCUCCAGGCUCUCGUGUUGCUCUCUUAUGUCACCAAAUCUCUGAGUGAGCCCCUCGUCCUCCCUCCUCUUUGGUCCAAGGACAGAAAGAGCCACUUCCUCCUCAGAAGAUCUGUUUGGACUUUGCAGUGAAGCCACAUAAACACACGCACACACAACCAAGAUCUGGUUGUGAUUUGUUUACAGAGAAGAAGAGAAGAAUUUUCUGAAUGGACCUCGGAGCUGUGACUUCAGCUCACGCUGCAACAAACAGAAAAUGCUUAUGCUAAUGAGACAAUGAGCACAUGUGCCCAUUGUGUGCCCCCGUGCUCAGCGGUGCAUCACCCCGUUGGAGCAGUUUGACAUUCUUGGAGCUUGGGAGUAUAUUUAACCCUGUGGCUCCCCUGCCAGGAUGGCCCCUCCAUAUACGGCCCUGAGCGCGGGCAGGCCGAGAAUGUCUGUGUGCAAAGGGUUGGAGGAACGGCGGCGAUGACAGGGUGAUGGAUGAGAUUUGAGCAAAGAUGGAGGGAGCCUGCUGUGAAGGAGCCGAGAAGGAGAGUGAGGACAACAGAGCACGGCGAUGUACAGAGUUUAACACUCUAUGCUCAUUUUUUAUUGAAUACCUGUGGCAGACUCAUUGUUUCUGCAGAAACAGGGAGAAAGCCACUACACUGAAGAGUCCUGCUAUUUUUUUAUUUAAUAAAAAAUAAUAGAAUGCACAGACCGCACAUUACAUGCACUCCCUUAACUAUUAAACAAAGACAAUCCUGAAAAAUGUGUGAAAGAAGCUGUUUGAAGGAUGGAUGCACACUGUGAUACACAAAAUACCCCCCAAAUGUAACAACAGCCGUGUGAGAGAAGGUAUAAAUGUGACCUUGCAGACACAAGUGUCAACUUUUCUGAGCAUGUCACAGUAUGUUCAAGUGUGAGUGUGAGGCAGGCAGACAGACAGACGGACAGACAGAGUGUAUGGUAUGCACUGGACAAGUGUGCGCACCAAGAUGCAAUUGCGAGUGCACAAACAAGCGUGUGUGUAUUUGUGUGUGUGUGACAGGUGUUUAGCUGGAAUGGUGCUAAGCUUUAAGUACUCUCCCAGCCCAAGCCCUAUUCCUGGUGUACACAGACACACAGCCACACAGACACAGGCACACACACUCUAUUAAACUAUUCAUCAGUUGCACAUUAUUUUAACUAUCCCUGGAAAACAGUCCAGUAUGUAUAGUAUUUUUGCUGAGCUUUGUCUUGUAAUAUUUAACGAUAAUAAGCUGUUUAUAAUCCAACUAAUAAGAUGAAG